rnacentral:rRNA from 1 species
GAUAAACGCUGGCGGCGUGCCUUAUGCAUGCAAGUCGAACGGUUCUUCAUCUUUCGGGUUGAAGGAUAGUGGCGGACGGGUGAGUAACACGUAAGUAACCUGCCCCUAAGUUCGGAAUAACUCUGAGAAAUUAGAGAUAAUACCGGAUGUGAUGAUGAGGGUAAGGCUUCAUCAUUAAAGCCUUAGGGCGCUUGGGGAGGGGCUUGUGGCCGAUUAGCUAGUUGGUAGGGUAAUAGCUUACCAAGGCGAUGAUCGGUAGCUGGUCUGAGAGGACGAUCAGCCACACUGGGACUGAGACACGGCCCAGACUCCUACGGGAGGCAGCAGCAAGGAAUUUUGUGCGAUGGGCGAAAGCCUGACACAGCAACGCCGCGUGGGGGAUGAAGGCCUUCGGGUCGUAAACCCCUUUUCUCAGGGAAGAAUAAUGACGGUACC